rnacentral:lncRNA from 1 species
UUAUCAUAAUCUAAGCACCCCUUGCUGCUAAAACCAAAAGUUUUGAUGACUAAACCAAAGAAAGUGAUGGUUUUCUCUUAAUAUAGAUUAAGUUAUCCUGGCAGCACUCCAAACUAGUUUUGGGCACCAUUAAGUAAAGAAAUUAUUAAUGAGGAUGCCAAGCUUUGUGCAAAAUGAAUUCCAUGAAUGUUUAAUAAACAAUGAGGUAUCAUGUCUGCGAUACUCAGUUCUUAAAUUAAUAGGUAGCACCACUUUCUGAGAAGAUCUUGUGAACAAUUUUUUUUAAAGGAUGACAAAUGCAGAAAGGCAUCUGGACAAGAAGUAUUUAAGUGUAAGAAAAAUAGUAACAUUUAAGCCAGGGGGACCCAACCCCCGAGCCAUGAACCAGUAUGGGUCCAUGGUCUGUUAGGAAAUGGGCCACAGAGCAGGAGGUGAGCAGCAGGCAAGCAAGUAAAGUUUCAUCUGUAUUUACAGCCACUCCCCAUUGCUCACAUUACCACAUGAGCUCUGCCUCCUGUCAGAUCAGUGGUGGCAUCAGUUUUUUUUUUUUUUUUUUGAGACAGAGUCUCGCACUGUCAUCCAGGCUGGAGUGCAGUGGUGCAAUCUAAGCUCACUGCAACCUCUGCCUCCCCAUCUCUGCCUCCUGAGUAGCUGGGAUUACAGGUGGCUGCCACUGCACCCAGCUAAUUUUUGUAUUUUUAGUAGAGAUGGGGUUUCACCAUGUUGACCAGGCUGAUCUAGAACUCCUGACCACAGGUGAUCUGCCUGCUUCAGCCUCCUAAAGUCCUGGGAUGACAGGUGUGAACCACUGUGCCCGGCCUAGCAUUAGAUUCUUGUAGGAGCACGAACCCUAUUGUGAACUAUGCAUGCAAGGGAUCUAGGUUGCAUGCUCCUUAUGAGAAUCUAAUGCCUGAUGAUCUGUCACUGUCUCCCAUCACCCUGAGAUGGGACUGUCUAGUUGCAGGAAAAUAGGCCCAGGGCUCUCACUGAUUCUACAUUAUGGUGAGUUGUAUAUUUAUUUCAUUAUAUAAUCACAGUGUAAUAAUAAUAGAAAUAAAGUCCACACUAAAUGUAAUGUGCUUGAAUCAUCCUGAAACCACCCUCCUCCACUCAGUCCGUGGAAAAAUUGUCUUCCAUGAAACUGGUCCGUGGUGUAAAAAAGGUUGGGGAUUUCUGACUUAAGCCAUCAGUAAUUUCCUCUUUACCUGACAAGUAAAUGAAAAACAGUUUUAUUUGCUAAUGUUCAUUACGAGUAAAAACUAUGUGCCAUGAAGUCAUGAAAACACCUAGUCUGGCCCAGUCUUAUGCUAGUCACUUUGGGACACUAAAUAGAAAGGAGCUUACAUAUGGAACACUUAGGCCAGGGGCUCUCCAAGGGGCAGAACACUUGGCAGUCAGAGUCUUUUGUGGAAUUCUGGGUUGUUUUUGUGAUACUGUAACCAGGGACCUUGGUUUUAACAAUCACCCACUUUCUUUUUCUUCCUUCUCUCCCCUCUCACCCUUUCAUUCCUUCACUCUCUAGAUACUCCCCUCCAACAACGCAUGCUUAUCUAAUUGUGCUCUUGCUCUUGAAACAAACCAGGCUGGAACCCCAUGGCAGAAUCCUCCCACUUAGGAAGAGUUCCACCAUUAGUCCACCAUCACUGAAGUCAAGAUAAUGCCAGCCAGACUUCUGGACAGGCAAUUACCCAAGAUGGCCAUCAGAAUGUUAAAAUAAAACUUUAGACAAAUUAAAUUUAACAGAGUUUAAUUGAGUAAGGGUUAAAAAAAAUUCACAAAUCAGGCAGCCUUCAGAAUCAUGGCAGAUUCAGAGAGACUCCCGGGAUACCUUCUGGUCAGAGCAAAUUUAUAGACAAAAAAAAAAAAAAAAAAAGGAAAGUGACAUACAGAAACCAGAAGUGAGGUACAGAAACAGAUGGAUUGGUUACAGCUUGGUGUUUGACUUAUCUGAACACAGUUUGAACAGUCAGCAGCAUAUGCGUUGUUGAAGUAUGGAUGCUGGGAUUGGCUGAGAUUGCAGCUAUUGUUACAGAAGCAUACUCCUAAAUUAGGUUUUCUACUAAGUCUACUUACUUGUCUACCUACUAAGUUAGGUUAUGGUUCAUCCUCAAGGACUUACGUAUGGAAGUAUGGAGGUUUUCUCAGGCCACAUUUAGUUCAAUUUAACAAGAACAAGAUAUACAGACUGUGUACCCUGCACUACUCCGGAAUGUCUCCUA